GCUAACCUGUACUAAUUGCCCGUGAGGCUUAACCAUACAACACCCAAGGGGUUU
rnacentral:rRNA from 2 species